GAUUAACGCUGGCGGCGUGCCUAACACAUGCAAGUCGAGCGGCAGCGCGUUUUACACUGAAUUCUGGAAGCUUCUAGUUGAAAGAGAAGAUUUAUUCAAGAAUUUUGUGUAAAAUGUCGGCGAGCGGCGGACGGCUGAGUAACGCGUGGGAACGUACCCCAAAGUGAGGGAUAACGCAUCGAAAGGUGUGCUAAUACCGCAUAUGGUCUUCGGAUUAAAGCCUUCGGGCGCUUUGGGAACGGCCUGCGUAAGAUUAGAUAGUUGGUGGGGUAAUGGCCUACCAAGUCGACGAUCUUUAACUGGUUUGAGAGGAUGAUCAGUCAGACUGGAACUGGGACACGGUCCAGACUCCUACGGGAGGCAGCAGUGAGGAAUCUUCCACAAUGGGCGAAAGCCUGAUGGAGCAACGCCGCGUGCAGGAUGAAGGCCUUCGGGUUGUAAACUGCUUUUAUAAGUGAGGAUUAUGACAGUAACUUAUGAAUAAGGAUCGGCUAACUACGUG
rnacentral:rRNA from 1 species